rnacentral:rRNA from 1 species
GUAACAUGCCCUUCGGGGUGAUGACGAGUGGCGGACGGGUGAGGAAUACGUAGGAAUCUGCCCUAGAGUGGGGGACAACACGGGGAAACUCGUGCUAAUACCGCAUACGCUCUACGGAGUAAAGCCGGGGACCUUUCGGGGCCUGGCGCUUUAGGAUGAGCCUACGUCGGAUUAGCUUGUUGGUGGGGUAAAGGCCUACCAAGGCGACGAUCCGUAGCUGGUCUGAGAGGACGAUCAGCCACACUGGGACUGAGACACAGCCCAGACUCCUACGGGAGGCAGCAGUGGGGAAUAUUGGACAAUGGGCGCAAGCCUGAUCCAGCAAUGCCGCGUGUGUGAAGAAGGCCUUCGGGUUGUAAAGCACUUUCAGUAGGGAAGAAAUGCUCAAGGUUAAUACCCUUGAGAGUUGACGUUACCUUCAGAAGAAGCACCGGCUAACUCUGUGCCAGCAGCCGCGGUAAUACAGAGGGUGCAAGCGUUAAUCGGAAUUACUGGGCGUAAAGCGCGCGUAGGCGGAUAUUUAAGUCGGAUGUGAAAGCCCUGGGCUCAACCUGGGAACUGCAUUCGAUACUGGAUAUCUAGAGUAUGGUAGAGGAAAGUAGAAUUCCUGGU